CGAUUCGAUUUUUCAUCCAUUUCGAUUUGAUUCGAUUUCUAAAAUAUAUAAUUCGAUUUUCAUGAUUUGAUUUAGUUUGAUUUGGUUCGGUUCAGUUUGAACCGAAUAAUCAACCCUAUCUAUCUUCUCUUCUUCAGUUAUGUUUUUCAGCUCUCACUUUUUCCCAUCCUUUUACCCUAAUUUCUCUCAUUCCUAUGAUAGUCCUCUUUUUCCAGUUACGCUAUUCUUCUCUUUUUUUGCACCACUCCCAUAUGAAUUUAGCAUAAUAGACAAGAUGUUCUAAACAACUUCCCCCUUGACUUCUACACAUAAAGAAAAAGUUCAUAUUAUGUGCUCGUCACAACAGUAGACAUCAAAAUCCACAUUUAGCACUUACUUCUGAAUAGUUUCCUUCGCUUC
rnacentral:misc_RNA from 1 species